UACUACCGAAGCUACGGCAUCAGUAAUGAUGGGUAGGGGAGCUUCCCAUACGGGUUGAAGCAUGACCGUAAGGACAUGUGGACAGUAUGGGAGUGAGAAUGUUGGCAUGAGUAGCGAGAUGUGGGUGGGAAUCCCACAGGCCGUAAACCCAAGGUUUCCAGGGGAAGGUUCGUCCACCCUGGGUUAGUCGGGACCUAAGCUGAGGCCGAAAGGCGUAGGUGAUGGACAACAGGUUGAUAUUCCUGUACUACCGAUAACCGGUUGAGAGAAGGGAUGACACAGUAGGAUAAGCUAAGCACCCUGUUGGUUAUGUGUGCCCAAGCAUUGAGGCAGUCAA
rnacentral:rRNA from 1 species